UACAGAGGUCUCAAGCGUUGUUCGGAUUCAUUGGGCGUAAAGGGUGCGUAGGCGGCGCGGUAAGUCGGGUGUGAAAUCUCGGAGCUUAACUCCGAAACUGCAUUCGAUACUGCCGUGCUUGAGGACUGGAGAGGAGACUGGAAUUUACGGUGUAGCUGGUGAAAUGCGUAGAUAUCGUAAGGAAGACCAGUGGCGAAGGCGGGUCUCUGGACAGUUCCUGACGCUGAGGCACGAAGGUCAGGGGAGCAAAGCGGG
rnacentral:rRNA from 1 species